rnacentral:rRNA from 1 species
AUUGAACGCUGGCGGCAGGCCUAACACAUGCAAGUCGAACGGUAACAGGAAGAAGCUUGCUUCUUUGCUGACGAGUGGCGGACGGGUGAGUAAUGUCUGGGAAACUGCCUGAUGGAGGGGGAUAACUACUGGAAACGGUAGCUAAUACCGCAUAACGUCGCAAGACCAAAGAGGGGGACCUUCGGGCCUCUUGCCAUCGGAUGUGCCCAGAUGGGAUUAGCUAGUAGGUGGGGUAACGGCUCACCUGGGCGACGAUCCCUAGCUGGUCUGAGAGGAUGACCAGCCACACUGGAACUGAGUCACGGUCCAGACUCCUACGGGAGGCAGCAGUGGGGAAUAUUGCACAAUGGGCGCAAGCCUGAUGCAGCCAUGCCGCGUGUAUGAAGAAGGCCUUCGGGUUGUAAAGUACUUUCAGCGGGGAGGAAGGGAGUAAAGUUAAUACCUUUGCUCAUUGACGUUACCCGCAGAAGAAGCACCGGCUAACUCCGUG